CAUUUGGUUCUUAAGAAUGGAAUUAUACCAAAACAAACCUUUCUCGUUUCUCACCUUUCCUUCAUCAAACACUCAGCAUCGGUAUCCGUUACCAAUAUGUAAAAUCGAAGCACCUUUUUCAUACAUGGGACACCAAGUUUUGUUUCCCAAGUUAACGCCAUGUGAUUUAAAAACUUAAUUAUCCACCCAACUUGCUCACAGUAUCGAAAAAUUGCUGAAUUAGAAUCGAACCAAGACUUAAUUUAUUGGUGUAACUACCAAAUCCAUUCAUCCAAACUUUCUAAACCACCAUUUAUAUAUUCUCUCCCUUGCUUUACAAAAUGUUUAUCUAACUAGCCAGAAUCAAACAGCUCACACAUUCCACAGUAACUCUUACAUCUGGGAAUUCAACUUUCUGACACCAUAAGGGUGAGUAUUAGUGUUACUCCCUUUUCUGUUGCUUCUCUCUGUCUUUCUUUGGUUGGUCUACUGCAGUACAUGAAUCCAUGAUGCUACCGCUAGAAGAACUAAAAGGAGCAUUUACAAAUGUCAGUACUGCAUCACAGAAUGAAAGACAUGAGAUUUUUAAUCUCUGUACGGACAAAGACACACUCAUUCAAACCUUCACUAAUGGCCUAACCCACAACUGCAACUUUUGAGUCAGCUUCAGAAAUCUUGUGACAAGGUAGUUGAUAAGGGCCCAUCUUCAUGCUUCAGUAGUCUCCAAGUAUUCAAUUCAUAAUUAUUAAUGGCGAUGGAGCUUAUCUCAAACUCAAGGAGAAGGAAAGCAAUAAUUGAGAAUGAUCGAGCAUCAAUUCAGCCAUGCGACCACUUUCUCUUAUGUUUUUUGUUUUAUUAAAGCAACAGAUAUGAUUGAUGUGAAACGACAUCACUCCUUUCACUUCUUGUUCCAAUGGAUAGGGAUGUACAUGUCAUUUCACAUUCUCAUUUACACCCGGGAACGUGCUCGUUGGGACAUAUGUUUCCACUCCACCAAGCGUUGAAGAAAGUUCAUCACCU